AUCCUGGGCGGCAGCUACACAUGCAGUCGAGCGGUAGAGAGAAGCUUGCUUCUCUUGAGAGCGGCGGACGGGUGAGUAAUGCCUAGGAAUCUGCCUGGUAGUGGGGGAUAACGUUCGGAAACGGACGCUAAUACCGCAUACGUCCUACGGGAGAAAGCAGGGGACCUUCGGGCCUUGCGCUAUCAGAUGAGCCUAGGUCGGAUUAGCUAGUUGGUGGGGUAAUGGCUCACCAAGGCGACGAUCCGUAACUGGUCUGAGAGGAUGAUCAGUCACACUGGAACUGAGACACGGUCCAGACUCCUACGGGAGGCAGCAGUGGGGAAUAUUGGACAAUGGGCGAAAGCCUGAUCCAGCCAUGCCGCGUGUGUGAAGAAGGUCUUCGGAUUGUAAAGCACUUUAAGUUGGGAGGAAGGGUUGUAGAUUAAUACUCUGCAAUUUUGACGUUACCGACAGAAUAAGCACCGGCUAACUCUGUGCCAGCAGCCGCGGUAAUACAGAGGGUGCAAGCGUUAAUCGGAAUUACUGGGCGUAAAGCGCGCGUAGGUGGUUUGUUAAGUUGGAUGUGAAAUCCCCGGGCUCAACCUGGGAACUGCAUUCAAAACUGACUGACUAGAGUAUGGUAAAGGGUGGUGGAAUUUCCUGUGUAGCGGUGAAAUGCGUAGAUAUAGGAAGGAACACCAGUGGCGAAGGCGACCACCUGGACUAAUACUGACACUGAGGUGCGAAAGCGUGGGGAGCAAACAGGAUUAGAUACCCUGGUAGUCCACGCCGUAAACGAUGUCAACUAGCCGUUGGAAGCCUUGAGCUUUUAGUGGCGCAGCUAACGCAUUAAGUUGACCGCCUGGGGGAGUACGGCCGCAGGUUAAAACUCAGAU
rnacentral:rRNA from 1 species